rnacentral:rRNA from 1 species
UACGUAGGGACCAAGCGUUGUUCGGAUUUACUGGGCGUAAAGGGCGCGUAGGCGGCGUGGUAAGUCACUUGUGAAAUCUCUGAGCUUAACUCAGAACGGCCAAGUGAUACUGCUGUGCUAGAGUGCAGAAGGGGCAAUCGGAAUUCUUGGUGUAGCGGUGAAAUGCGUAGAUAUCAAGAGGAACACCUGAGGUGAAGACGGGUUGCUGGGCUGAUACUGACGCUGAAGCGCGAAAGCUAGGGUAGCAAACGGG